CUCCCCCACUAUUAUCAUUAUGAAAAUAAACAUAUCAUAAUGAACGUUUAUUACUGUCCUGCCACAGCCACAGAUACCUGAUUUUUUGUUUUGUUUUGUCAGAGCAUUUGAUUCAUUGAUUGCUGUCGGGAUGUAAUGAGAAUUUCAACUAAUAUAAAAAUU